CAUUGAGGAUUUGAUAAGAGACAUCAAUGUUCCAGUAGAGGUGUUAUUGAAGUUGUGGCUGAAUAGUCCUUUUAUUGAUGCUAAGUAUAUGGGCACCAUAACUCUAAUCCGACAUGAGCAGUCCAACCACGACAGUGAGCAGUGGAACCGCAAGAUAGAGGGUUAACUGGCCAUGCAAAAACUGUUGUGAGGCAUUAAAUGCGGCAGUUGCGGAUGUGGUCGGCGGUUGAGGGAGGGUCUCUGACUAGAGCAGCAGGAGCAAGGAGCUCAAGGAGGUUCAGUUUGCUGGUCCAUAUUAAUUUCCUCGAGCUUAUUUUCACAUCUCGUCAUAUUUACACCUCUCCGCCGACUGCCACCUAUCAUGGAGGGAGAUGGCUUGGUCAGGCCGUCAACACCCAUCGGCAACUUUCGGCAGGCGCCGUCCGUACUUCUGCAUGUAAACUGAAUUGAUUUACCAGUAAAAAUCUGGACAACUCAUUCCAGUCGAUAAUAACCAUUGUGGCAUUACCAUGAUAUGUCAUGUAUCUGCUUUGACUUGUACUAUGUUGCAAAAAGUACAAUAAGAGAUAGAAUGUAUGCACUAUGGCUAGCAGUAACUUUUUUUUGACUUGUACAACAUUUGAUCUAUCUAUUUCUGCAGGCUAUUCCUCUUGUUGCAACCUUUUCCCAUAGAAUCAAAAGGAAUUAGAUUGAAGAAAUUGCAGGAGAGCGGGAAGGGUAUUCCUGGUGUCACAUUCAAAAGCGGUCAAAACGGUGAGGUUUAGAACGGAGGAGCUCCGUGGAAUUAUCGAUAAAAAAUUAUCCAUAACAUGUCUGUCAUUGCUCAUGUCGACCACGGUAUGUGACCGAGCAGUGACAGUUGUCUCUAAUUAUCAAUUUUAUAUAGAGUCUUCUUGAUUGAUGAUUUUGUAGCCUUCUCUUAGUUGUACCAUAUUAAUUCUUAAAACUGGAUCAUUUAAAAUUAGUUAGAUUUAAUGAGUUGUUUCA